UAUGAUGCUGGUUGAUGGUUGACCCUAGG
rnacentral:piRNA from 1 species